UGGCUCAGAUUGAACGCUGGCGGCAGGCCUAACACAUGCAAGUCGAACGGUAACAGGAAGCAGCUUGCUGCUCGCUGACGAGUGGCGGACGGGUGAGUAAUGUCUGGGAAACUGCCCGAUGGAGGGGGAUAACUACUGGAAACGGUAGCUAAUACCGCAUAAUGUCGCAAGACCAAAGAGGGGGACCUUCGGGCCUCUUGCCAUCGGAUGUGCCCAGAUGGGAUUAGCUUGUUGGUGAGGUAACGGCUCACCAAGGCGACGAUCCCUAGCUGGUCUGAGAGGAUGACCAGCCACACUGGAACUGAGACACGGUCCAGACUCCUACGGGAGGCAGCAGUGGGGAAUAUUGCACAAUGGGCGCAAGCCUGAUGCAGCCAUGCCGCCGUGUAUGAAGAAGGCCUUCGGGUUGUAAAGUACUUUCAGCGGGGAGGAAGGUGUUGUGGUUAAUAACCGCAGCAAUUGACGUUACCCGCAGAAGAAGCGCCGGCUAACUCCGUGCCAGCCGCGGC
rnacentral:rRNA from 1 species